AUGAAGUAUUUCUCAAAGGAAGUCCACCCUCAUCCGUGUCCCUCUUACCCACACGUCUCACUCCUGCAAUUACAGGCUUCUGCCCGGCCUUUGCAGGGCGCCUGUGUGCGAGUGAAGACGAGUGAUGGAGAUGAACUAUCUUUGCUGAAAAGGUUGGCGGAUGUGCAUCAGCAUGGAAAAACAAUCCAGACCGAGGGUGGCAGGCAUCAAAGGGCAGGAAGAGAAGAGAACCCACACCCACUGAGCUAACAUUUAAACUCUAUCCAAUCCCACCAGGAACCAAAGGCACCGCGCUGAACGUCAGAUUUAACCCAGAAAUAUGUAUGAAAAAAUCUGCUUUCUCUUGCUUUCAAAGGGGUUCAAAGGGACAAUGAAACUUCAUCAAAGCGCCACAUCCUUCUUUUGCCCUUACAUUUACCAGCUUGGCAGAACAUGAAUGCAGUGUCCUUCAGAUUUCAGUUUUAUAGCAUCAGAUGACAGGUGCAAAUCUAUCUACAGUGUCUGUCUAUCUUUACUUAGAUCAUGAAUAAGUGUUGUUCUGACAGGUGAGCUUCUGUACAUAAACAUCCUGUAUCACAACCCACUUGAUGUUUGAUGUACGAAUUUAACGGCAUUUGAACAGAAAAUAUCAAAUUGCAAAAAAAAACUUUUUUAUUCACUUUAGAGUUCGCACUAAAUUUGUGUUUUAUUAGUUUAUGUAAAAAUGUGUAAAAUGGGUGGUGAUAUGACAUUCCUUAUGAUGGUCAAAUGAUGUCAAAAAUUAAAGAACCCAGAAUUCUAUUCCAAUCCAUUUAUUUGUUUUAUUAUAAUUUAUUGUUUAAAAAACAAUAUACAUUUAUUUAAAAAAAAAAUAAGUUUUUUUUGUUUGUUUGUUUUUGGUGUAUUUUUAUUUAAUUAAUUGUUGGUUUGUUUUGAUAUAUAUAUAUAUAUAUAUAUAUAUAUAUAUAUAUAUAUAUAUAUAUAUAUAUAUAUAUAUAUAUAUAUAUAUAUAUUUAUUUAUUUAUUUAUUUAUUUUUUCUGACUGUAUGAAGUCAGUUUUCAUUGAGUUCAUCACAGUCAUUGAUUAUGGACAUUUUCCACUAACAUUUGACAUCCAUUAAGUGCUCAGAUCCUUUGCUCUGUUCCAGUUAGUUUUUAAUUAGAUUUAACUUUUAACAUUUUUAUAUUGACUUAGAUAUAUUUCUCUUGACUUUAUUUGUUUUGUUAAUGCAACUGUAUUCAUACAUUUUAAAGAGUUGCUUAAUGUGUCCAAAUUCAUUCUGGGGUCAUUUUCAUUCUUUAGUCACAGUACCUUCCCUGAGCUCCUCAUUCAGUUCGCGGAUAGCCACACGCACAUUUAUCACACUCUUUCCCAUUUUAAAUCCAUUCGGUUUUGUGCUCACUGUCCUAGUUCAUGAUAAAUAAGUUCUUCACCCCGUGUUCACCACCCAGACAAGCAUGAGAAAUUAUGGUCCUAAUUGAUUCUCAUUUUCAAAGGAUGCUCCCCCCCCCAUCGUCCCAAGAAUUAAACCAUUAAAAGAAAGGCUCAAACUUCUUAAUCUCUGCAAAUCGGACUAAUCCAGCAUUGCAGAAAUGCAGGCUUUGGAGAGAAUGGCUUCUUAAGCCUACUAUGCUGUGCAUAGGUGUUGCUUAGCGCUUCUGUGGGGGAGUGUGCGCCGGGGAUCCAUUCAUAUGAUUAUGAGGCGAGGGUUAAAGUCACAGUUUAGGGUGAGAGAAUGAGAAGUUUGCUUCUGUUUCUCCUCCUAUCUCUCUCGCUCUCUCUCCAUUUUGAUGUCUUCUGCCUCCUCUAUGCCCUCCGGGAGCUCAGUGUUUAUUGGCUGCCUGAAAUACACCCAUCUUUCCACCAGCCCCCGGCUAGCAUUGUCUCAACAAAGCCUGUUACUUGAUGGUUCAAUAGGGGCUUUUUGGGUGUGAUUUCCCUGCUUUCUCUCUCUCUCGGUCUCGGUAGCUGCCGUCUCGGCUCAGGAGCAUGGCGAAUGGGAUCAGAAGCAAACAGCCUCACUGAUAACGAUGAAGGGCAAAUAUUGAAGCCUCAUUGUUUGUUUGUUUUUUUUUCUAGCUCCCCUGCUUCUGUCUGCAUCGUCUUUCACAUUCUGAUUUAUAUUCAUCUAAACGCUGACAUUAACUCUCCAUUCAGGCUUAUUUUCAAAUGCAAGCCUUUGACAACUAUAUUCUGAUUAAUGUGGAAUUCUAUUUAUUACACUUUAAAUUAAUGAUGCUUUACAUCUAGUUGACUUGUGACUUUUCUCUGCUGUAGUCCACUUAUAAUAUUAUAAAUGUUUUUUGGGGUUUUUCAGGAUUUUCUACCCUCUUUUCUAUGUUAGGCCUAUUCACACCAAUUAUGUUAUCAUGUUCUGUUCAUUAGCAUGUUCUGUUUGCAAAUUUGCUUCUAGUGAUGCGAUAUGUACACUAUUCUUUGGCGGAAAAGCCUCUUUAGUCAUUCAAAAUGAACUGUAAUUAGACUAAAUAUGUUUUGACGUUUUAUAAGUGGGAAUUUUUGGAAGUUCUUAAAAAUGUGAAAUGGACUCUCCCUGACUACUCCCUUUGACGUCAUGAUUCAUGUAGGAUGGUCUCAAUUUAAGUUUUUGGGUCAGUGUGGUUUCUUUUGGUGCCAGCUGACAGUGUACGUCACUUUCCUGACUCAUUUCCAGAGUAAUUAGUUAGAAAUAGUAGUAUCUACCCUAUAUAAUUGCUAUUACCUCAGAGUGACUGGGUCCUUUUUGAACACAGAAUAUGCUAGCUGACAAAUAAAUGUGGUCAUGAAUAGGGGGUUUUCAUGUCAGGAAUCUGAGGAGGAGCUGUUUUUUUUUUUUUUUUUUCAGAUUCGUUUUAAUAACAGUAAGUUCAAGUUACAAGUAAAAUUUCAUAGUGCAGUGCACUUUGCAGAAGAUCAAGGAAAAUUUGAUUAGCCAUAAUAUGACCACUUUAAAUGGAAUAAAACAAGCUUGUACUGUCUUUGAGCUCUUAGUGAAUCGUGUUUCACGGGAUGCUCCACAUUGCAAGUACAACGCUGUACCAGGUGAGCUAUUGAGCAAGUUUACUAUAUCAGGUAAUCCAUAUGGAGCUGAUUAUGUGAUGAAAAUGUUAACAUGUAUUAGUUUACAAAUCAUGCACUAUGGCAAAAGUAUUGUGAGAUAAUGUAGUAUUGUGCAAGGAACUAUGCAAAAAUAAGUCUUUAUUAAUGACUAUUAUGCCCUUGUAAUUGUAACUUGUGUGAAAAGGAAUAAAAGUUGUUGGUUUUUUACUGCAACUACUGUUCAUUUCAGCUGGAAAAUGUAGUGAAUUGUAUGUAUAGGUAUGGUUUUUGGAGUUUUGCAAAAAAUCUAGGUAGAGACACGUUUUUCCAGUUAGCCUUUGUUGGAUUCUUUAUGUGUGAGUCAUAACCAUUUCAGAUUUAUUCAGCAACGGCACUCAUUGAGGUAGGACGGAGUUACCUUUUUGGGCUUUUCGCUUGGCGGUAAGUGUCUGUCCAGGUCAGGGGGAUGCUCACUGGUCUGAAGAGAUCAUCCUCAGGCACCGGCUGGAGCUCUGACAGAUGGUGUCAAUACACUGCAUAUAGAGAGAGAGAGAGAAUGAAAUAGGAUGAGAGCAACAAAAUGAGACAACAAGAGAGUGAGGAACACUCGGUUUAGUGAGUCACAAGUGAUGGAUACCGAGUACGUCUGUCCUUGGUGUGUGAUGUGACUGCUGAUUGGUUCUGACAGGCCUUUUAGAGUGGUCGUCAGUCUCAGGACUGGAACUCUAUUGGACUGUGCUGGAUCAGAGGGGUGUGGCCUCAGACUUUUACACUAGUUAAACUGUCAUAACUUUAAAGCAGUAGUUCAUCUACUAAUUGUUCAUUUACCCGGUUAAUGUUAUUUUAAAGCAUUAUGACUUUAUGAGGUAAACAAAAGGCGAUAAGGAUGUCUGUAGACCUUGUCUUUGUAAAUGUCUAUUGUAAUUUUUAAGGACCACACACACAUAUAUAUAUAUAUAUAUAUAUACACACAUAUAUAUAUAUAUAUAUAUAUAUAUAUAUAUAUAUAUAUAUAUAUAUAUAUAUAUAUAUAUAUAUAUAUAUAUACACUUAUAUAUAUAUAUAUAUAUAUAUAUAUAUAUAUAUAUAUAUAUAUAUAUAUAUGUAUAUAUAUAUAUAUAUGUGUGUGUGUGUGUGUGUUUAAAAUCA
ensembl:lncRNA